CGUUGCCGUUGUUGCAUAUACAAUAUAAUCCAUUACAUUACAAAACCAUUCUGCAAGAGCACCACAUAGAGGUUACUUCGUGCCUUUCCCCCCUUCCAGCUUGUUAGGGUUUUGCGGUGUUGCCGGUAAUUUUCAUUUCCUCUCGCUCACCACCACCGGCUACAACCACAACCAAUGCCAUAUCGGAAAAACCUAACAAUCUUGAAAAAACGUCCGAACUCUCAUUUCAUCGAUUCUCAGUAUCGAAACUUUCGCACCGUUUGAAUUUCACUUUUCAAAUAUUUCGAAAUCUUGAUACAUCGAAAUAUGGUGGAAGAGACAAAAGAGAAAGAUCCUGAAUUCAAAUGGGGAAAAAAGAAAGGGUUUGGUGGUAAAAAGAGGGAAGUGAUUUUUUACGAGUCGUUUAUCUACGACGGUGUUGCUUACACUCUUUACGAUUCUGUGUAUCUUUACAAGGAGGAUGAACCUGAACCUUUUAUCGGUAAAAUAAUCAAAAUAUGGGAAAGUGGUGAUAAGAAAAAGAGAGUUAAGGUUCUGUGGUUCUUUCGUCCCUGUGAGAUUCUGAACUUCUUGGAAGGAUAUGAGGCACGAGAAAACGAGUUGUUUUUGGCAGCUGGUGAAGGAUUAGGGCUUGCAAAUGUCAAUCCUCUGGAAGCUAUUGCUGGGAAAUGCGAUGUUGCUUGCAUUUUAAAGGACGACAGGAAUCCACAUCCAUUAGACGCAGGUCUUCAAAAUGCCGACUUUGUAUGCUAUCGUUUCUUUGAUGUUGGGAAGCAUGCAAUAUUGGAUAAGAUUGAAGAUAAGAUUGCUGGAAUUGAAGUUAAAAAUAUUUUUAACAAUUUAUAUAGUCGAAAGCUCGGGGGUCUUUCAAAACUUGGUUUAGAUGAGAAAGAAGUUAGUGUGAAAGUCACAACGAGUAAUGAAGCGGCAACUCUUUCAAGUGACAAAAACAAUCAGCUUUUGGUUGAAAAACUAGAUGGCAAGUGUUUUGACAAUGUUGAUUCCCGCGACAAGACCUUGCCUCAAGCCAAAGAGAAAGAGAAUGGAGUUUAUAUGACUUCUUUGGCUAAACAAAAAUCACUUGCUAAACUAUCACAUUGCUCUAGAGAUAGUUUGGAAAUGAAAGAAAUUUCUAAAAUUGGAGGAAACGUCUCUAUUGACAAGACCCUUUUGAAGUCUAAGAAUAAUUUAGAAAUGGGUGGACAUAAUAUUGUUGGUAUACCCGAUCGACAAAUCAACAAGCGAUUGGGGGAAGGUGAGGUUUAUGAGAAGGAAAAAUAUGGCAUUUCUAGUGCAAAGAUAACAAGUAAUGUUAAAAAUCGAAGGAAUUAUGAUGAGUAUGAUGAUGUGAAAGAAGUCCCUUCGAAAAAACCAAAGAUUGACACAAUGUCAGUUAAACACUCUGAAAAAAAGUUGCCUGACAGACAAAUCAACAAGCGAUUGGGGGAGAACAAGGCUUUUGAAAAGGAAAAGUAUGGUGCUUCGAGUGCAAGGAAAACAAAUAAUGUGCAAAAUCGAAGGACCUAUUACGACAAUGAUGAUGAUGAUGAUGAUGAUGAGAAGGAGGUCCCUUCGAAAAAGCCAAAGAUUGACACGAUGCAUGCUAAGCUCGCUCGUGACAAGUUGCAGAAAGAAUCGUCUACAACUUCUCUAAACGUGGAGCACAAGCUAGAUUACCGUGUAAUGGAAGUUACUCAAAGACCAGACGUUGAUAGAAGCAAAUGGUUUAAGCCAAUGGCUUGGGAGGAAAAAAUGAAAAAUGCUUGUGAGCAAGGGAAACUUGUGCGGCUUGAAAAUUUGGAUCCUUCUUUAACUUCAUCAGAAGUACAGAAUAUUAUUUGGCAUGGCUUUGAAGAAAGCUGUACUGCAAAGAUGAUCCAGAAAACCGCAUAUUCUAGUCCUCAUUCUGGUCAAGCUUUUGUUAUAUUUAAGAGAAAGGAAGCUGCAGAGUCUGUUGUUAGAAAAUUAGAGGAGGGCUGUUUCUUGAUGUCAAAUGGGCGUCCACUUGUGGGAAGCUUUGAACUCCCCUGCUUGUCGGGAAAGAAGCCAAUAUUUUAUGGUCAUCAUGCUAUUGAUCAACCUCGACAGCGUGAGACGAAAGACGCACUAUCUACUUCACAUUGUUCUCAGCCCAACAACAUUGAAUAUGAUAUGGCCUUAGAGUGGUGUUUACUACAAGAAAGAGAAGACAAAUCUUGGAGAAGAUUGUAUCAGCGACAAGGUGAGGAGUUGAGCAAACUCAAAGCUAAGUUGAAGUCUAAAAUCUAAACAAUCUCCACUGACUCUUCUAUUUUUGUUGGAAUGUGGUUGGGUCAGACGAUUAUGCAUUAUAUGAAUCUCAUGGUCUUUACCAUCUCAAGUUUGAUUCUUCAUGGAUUUGCACUGUCACUCUAUCACCAAAAUUCAUUCAUGAACGACUGAGACAUCCUCACAUGUCCAAAUUGAAAACAAUGGUUUCAAAUCUUGAAAUUGAAAACCUAAUGAUUUUCUCAUGUGAGUCAUGUCAAUUAGGGAAAACAUGUUUGAUCAUCUAUUGUUAGAAAAGUUGAAAGUCUUGUUGAUUCACUGUUUUCAGAUAUUCAUUUAUAUGUAUGAGGCCCUUGUGAUGUGUCUUUUAUGACUUGGAGAUAUUUUGUCAUCUUAUUGAUAAAUUUUCUUGAUGUACUUGGAUCUUAAUGACAGAUGAAUAUCAGAUACUAUCUAUUUUCUCUUCUUUAGUUCAUUCAAUUAAGACCUAAUUUGGUAAAGACAAUUCUUAUUCUUAGAAGUGAUAUUGCAAUAGAAUAUUUCUCUUUUAGUAUUACUUCCUUUUUUGACAUCACAUGGCAUUCUCCAUUAAUCGUCAUGUCAACAAAAUGACAUAACUGAAAGGAAAAUAGACAUCUCGUUGAGAUAGACUGUUUUUUUCAUUCAAACGUCAAGAAAAAUAACAUCAGAUGACAUUCUCCAUUAAUCUUCCUGUCUAUCACUGAGCGAGACAAUUUUAACUACCUGGUUUUUGAUGAAUCAAAUGCAUUUUCCUCUCUUAAAAACAAAAUUCCUUACUCCAUGUUGUUUAUUAGAGAACCUUUGACUUAUAUCGUUCCACAUGUUUUUGGAAGUAGUUGAUUUAUUCACGAUCUUUCUCCAAGUUUAGAUAUACGAUCUCUUUUGAGCCAUUUAUUGUGUUUUUCACUUAGUUCCUACCUCCAUCUAUCUUGUCUCACUUCAAGCCUAUUGUGGUACGCCACCAUUUCCUUAGCCACCAUUUAAUGUUGUUUUGCCAUUAUUGAUAAGGCUUGUUAUUGAAGAAGCUAGCGAGGGCACGAGCCAAAGUUGCUACCUUUUGAGAUACGAUGUUGAGUAGAUAAAUAGGGUUGCAAAAUAGGUCUUCCUAAACCCCAAUAUUUGUGGAAUGCUUUAAGAAUAUGACUGACUUUGUUCACUGAAGUUGUGGCAUAGGUGUCAAAUUUUUUGGUUCAGCAGUUGUAGAUAUGACACUCUUGGGGGUUCUUAGUAUACAGCAAAACUCCCUAGAAAGCUGUUGAACGUUUGUUGCCCAGUCCAAUUUCACUGUUGUUGUACUGCAUAUAGUUUCUUGUUCCUUGAUGUAAACUCCAUUUUUUGUUAUGUAAUUCUGUUCUUAAGUGUA